rnacentral:rRNA from 1 species
AUUGAACGCUGGCGGCAUGCCUUACACAUGCAAAUCGAACGGUAACGGGCCUUCGGGUGCCGACGAGUGGCGAACGGGUGAGUAAUACAUCGGAACGUGCCCGAUCGUGGGGGAUAACGAGGCGAGAGCUUUGCUAAUACCGCAUACGAUCUACAGAUGAAAGCAGGGGACCGCAAGGCCUUGCGCGGACGGAGCGGCCGAUGGCAGAUUAGGUAGUUGGUGGGAUAAAAGCUUACCAAGCCGACGAUCUGUAGCUGGUCUGAGAGGAUGAUCAGCCACACUGGGACUGAGACACGGCCCAGACUCCUACGGGAGGCAGCAGUGGGGAAUUUUGGACAAUGGGCGCAAGCCUGAUCCAGCCAUGCCGCGUGCAGGAUGAAGGCCUUCGGGUUGUAAACUGAUUUUGUACGGAACGAAAAGCCUUCUUUUAAUACAGGAGGGUCAUGACGGUACCGUAAGAAUAAGCACCGGCUAACUACGUG